rnacentral:lncRNA from 1 species
CCGACUCCACCUGGAACACACUUGGCAAAAUAACCAUUUCCAACAGGUGUAUUAGCCAUACAUAAUCUCCAGAUGUAUACAUCCCCUUCAAUAACACUAGCAAUUUUCUGCUAAUGAAGUACCCUCCGUUUGCUAAGGAAUUCAAUUGGACAAACAUUAGUCUGCAUUAACACUGCUAAGGCUAGAAAGUAUAACUGAAAUAAUGUCACAUAUGCAGUCAAACCAACUGAAACAAGGCAUGUGAAGAAAAUACUUGGUACCUGAAUCGAGUGUAACCCUGUUAUUACACAAAGUAACAGGAGAACAGAAAAACAGAAAUCCAGCAGAAAGUACAUAAUGAACUUCCCCACCAACAGGUUGAGAAAUCCCCAUUGCAACCACUAGGCUUUUCAUGUCUUAUACAGCAGAGGCAAGAAGUAAGAGAAUAUUCCCAUUACAAGUAUCAUCAAUGACUGCUGUAAACAGACUGCAGUUUCAGUACCAGAAACAGCUCUUCCUUUAUAAACUGGAAGACACGAUCAACAAAUUUAUUCAACUGCAACGUCUGGAAUCACAAGCGACUUGUAUUGCCAUUUUCAAUGCCCUAAUGGAGAGACGGAGAGAGAGAUAGAGGUGGGUGGGGAAAGUAAACACGAAACACAAUACUUUUGUUUGUUUCAUGUAUGUAAAAUGCCUAGUACCUCACAGACAUAUAUGACUGCCAACCUUAUCCUUGCUCCAAAAAACCUCACAUAGAGAGAGAGAGAGAGAGAGUGAGGGGCCUCGGUGGGUGUUAGCGAGGGGCCUCGGUGGGUGUUUUCGAGGGUUGCAAGAGAGUUAAGAGAAGCUCUGCUGAUAACCAUGAACAGAAUCAUAAGGUAAGUACCAGCUUGUAAGUAUUUAUUGCAGUCCAAAAUGCAGCCACAUUCCAAUGAACAAAAUCCCACUCUUGAGUCCCCUUUCA